UGGUGGAGUGAUUUGUCUGGUUAAUUCCGUUAACGAACGAGACCUCAGCCUGCUAACUAGUCGUGCUUAUCCUUUGUCGCUGAUGGUUUCUUCGGAAAUACGGACGCGGCAGCUUCAGGAUAGGCUGAUGUUUUCUCCUUAAUGGCCUUCCCGGUUUGUUUUGGAGAGCAUCGUGCAACUUCUUAGAGGGACUAUCCGUGUGUAGCGGAUGGAAGUUUGAGGCAAUAACA
rnacentral:rRNA from 1 species